UACAGAGGGGGCGAGCGUUGUUCGGAAUUACUGGGCGUAAAGGGCGCGUAGGCGGCCCGCUAAGUCGAACGUGAAAUCCCCAGGCUCAACCUGGGAACUGCGUCCGAUACUGGCAGGCUUGAAUCCGGGAGAGGGAUGUGGAAUUCCAGGUGUAGCGGUGAAAUGCGUAGAUAUCGAGAGGAACACCUGCGGCGAAGGCGGGUUGCUGGGCUGACACUGACGCUGAUGCGCGAAAGCCAGGGGAGCGAACGGG
rnacentral:rRNA from 1 species